AAUUCCUUCUCGGUUGAACCCUCGUAAUUUACAUGGUACAAACUGAAACCAGUGCGCGCUCACAUCCGGACACCCUACAGAUCGAACGGUGUGGCACCGACGCCUCACUUGCCGGGCACGAAGUUGGUGGCGUAGGCCCAGGCGUUGUUGUUGACGGGGUCCGCGAGGUGGUCGGCGAGGUUCUCGAGCGGGCCCUUGCCGGUGACGAUGGCCUGGACGAAGAAGCCGAACAUGGAGAACAUGGCGAGGCGGCCGUUCUUGAGCUCCUUGACCUUGAGCUCGGCGAAGGCCUCGGGGUCGUCGGCGAGGCCGAGCGGGUCAAAGCUGCCGCCGGGGUAGAGCGGGUCGACGACCUCGCCGAGCGGGCCGCCGGCAAUGCGGUAGCCCUCGACGGCGCCCAUGAGCACGACCUGGCAGGCCCAGAUGGCGAGGAUGCUCUGCGCGUGGAUCAGGCUCGGGUUGCCGAGGUAGUCAAGGCCACCCUCGCUGAAGAUCUGGGAACCCGCCUUGAACCAGACGGCCUCGCCGAACUUGACGCCGUUGCGGGCGAGCAGCUCGGGGAAGACACAGCCGAGCGCGCCGAGCAUGGCCCAGCGGGAGUGGAUGACCUCCAGCUCGCGGUUCUUGGCGAAGGUCUCGGGGUCGGCCGAGAGCCCGGCGGUGUCCCAGCCGUAGUCGCCGGGGAACUCGCCGGUUAGGUAGCUCGGGGGCUCGCCGGAGAGCGGGCCGAGGUAGAGCACGCGGUCGGGGCCGUACCAUGGGCUGCCGGAGGCGGCCGGCUUGGGCUUCGCCGCGGUCUUGCGCAUGGUCACGCGGGCCUCGCCGAAGAGGGACGAUGGCACGUUGACAGCCUUGCCGACGAAGGCCGUGGAGGAGAGGGCCAUGGUGCUGGUCGCCAUUGCGCUGCUAUCACCGGUGGUGUCCUGCGGUUUUAGAGUGAGGCUCGAGCUUGCAGAUGGCUUGCGAUGUCUGGAGACGACGAAGGUAUUUAAAGCGAUUGAGGGAAGCGCUGGUGCGUGGCAAUCUAUCUUGAAUGUUGCCAAGAGUUACAAAAAAAUCUGUUGCUCGGAUGCCAUUGGUGCGUCGAGGAUCCUGGCACACUUGGCGCAAUGGGAGCCUCAAGCCGAUGAGGUAGCUGUGGCUGAGGCUAGGAAUCUCCUUGGAGAAGGGCGAUUGGGCGCUCCGGAUUUUGUGGUGAUUGUGGAUUUUUCUUCACAUUUCUUCUGGAUACCGCCGAUGCACUACUUUAUCCCAGUCCUCUGUUGAUAUUUUUGCAAGUCAGUGCCCAGUCACUUGGGAGUCAUGUGUUCACCCGUGAGUAACGGUAAGAAACCAAAUUGGUUUUCUUGAAAGAGAUUGUCUUAGUGACAGAGACUCAGUGACACAAGGGGAGCAAUCUGGUCUUCAAGCUAGGCAAGCUAGCGGUUACUGCAAGUUGGCACUUUUCUGAACAUCAAUGGACCAUCGACAUUUACGUGUUGCUGUUUACAUCCAGUAGAAAUUUGCGCACUCAAAAUAAUUGCCAUCUACCCAUAUUUUUUUUGGACGAAUUAAAUAGCUGUCUGUCGGAUUUAGUGACAGGUUACUCAAGUGGUAGAUUUAUAGGCGGGGGAGUCACAAGACUAAGAACUCGAAUGGUAACACAGUAUCGGAUCUAGUGACCGGCAGUCCACCAGAAGGUUACUCGAGUGUAGAUUUAUAGGCGGGGGAGAUCGCAAGACCAAGAACUCAAAUGGUAACACAGAGACGCGAGAUUUAGACAGGUUCGGACUCCGGAGAGUAAUACGCUACAUUCUGUGUUCUGGUGGAUUGUAUUGCUGAUCGCGAGUGCGAAUGGUUUAUGUCAGAUGAGUUGUGGUGAGUUACCCUCAUGGGGUGUCCCUAGCCGCCUUAUAUAAAUUUACGAUCGAGAGUUACAAGUGCGAUAGAAUCUAAUCCUAGUAAGUUAUUAUAUGAAAAGCAAUCUGAGUCGGUUUACAAUAAGUAUCCCAUGAUAUCCGAGCUAAAUUGAUUCGCCCGACCUCCUAACUGGUAUUCCAUGCGUCUUCAUGCCUUGGCCCGCACGGCAUGGUCUAACGGGUCUAUUUAUCAGGACCGACCAUUAUCCUGAUUGGUGGGAACAUUUGGAUACCCUUAUCCUCAUCAGUGUUGUAUUUAGGGCCUGUUUGGCUCCAACCUGUUAAAGUUUAACACCCAUCACAUCGGAUUUGGAUGCUAAUUAGAAGUAUUAAAUAUAGACUAAUUACAAAACUAAUUGCACAGUUGGAGUGUAAUUCGCGAGACGAAUCUAUUAAGCCUAAUUAGUCCAUGAUUUGACAAUGUGGUGCUACAACAACCAUUUGCUAAUGGUGGAUUAAUUAGGCUUAAUAGAAUCGUCUCGCGAAUUAACAUAAGGUUCUGCAAUUAAUUUUAUAAUUAGCUCAUGUUUAUUUCUUCUAAUUAUCAUCCGAAUAUCGGAUGUGACACCACCUCGUAUCAAACACUCCUUAUUGUCGUUACAUUCAUGCAAGGAGUCUGUACGUCUCAAAGUAGAUACAUGUCUCCUUCAUUCGACAAAAAAAUACAGUACAUGCAGUAACUCUCAGAUAUCGGUGUUCAGACCGUACAAGUGUAUGCAAAAGCAUAAUGUUCCAGCGACCAUGGGCCGAACGAACGAAUCGUCGUACCACACAAAGCAAAAAAAAAAAAGAGGUUUCCAGAUGCUUCCAGCCCCAAACUAAUCUUGGGCCAAGGAAAGUCCUAGAAAUGAUGGGCCUAACUUCGUGUUUCAUGUGAGGCCCGAAAGUCUACUGCAUGUUUGGUGGGCCAUACCGCGGAGGUCCACACUGCAGGACGAUUGCAAUUGGAUCUGUCCAAAGGCCUUUACAGCUGCAUCCACGGGCGAAUCGCAUCACUUCACAGAAAAGAUGCCCUUGUUGUCAUAAUGCCAAGCUAGUAUAUCCUCCAUGCCAUAUUUCACAGGAAUAGACAGAACUAGUAGGAACACCCGCGCCUUGCGCGGGCUAGCAAACUCGAACACACAAAUUUGCACAUACAUUAUAAUACACUAAACAUGUUUGGAUUCGUAAAUAAUGUCGUCUUUGAGUAAAAAGUACUUAAAAUAUACUUUACAAUGUUUUUGACAUCAAAAACAACAUAAUUGUUCCAGAUGAGAAACACUUCAACACUUGUUGGUGCUUUGCCAAUAUGCAGUUUCACACCAUCAAGUUUCACCAGGUUGGAAUUUGCAACCACUCUGGGAAAAAAAAACGAGAAGAAAGGUUUGAGAUGCCGACCUGAAUAGAUGAAUUUGAUAAUGCAUCACAUACAUAAGAAUCUGGGAGUUAUGAAGAAAAUGCAACAAUAACUGAAAUCAAUUGAAAAUACGGCUGCAAGGAUGAUAUAUCUAAUUGGCCAUCGUAUAUUCCAUUUCAGAGAUUGCGACAGGAACAGCCGUGCUGUUUUGCAAAACAGAAGGGGCAUAAUAAAAGGCACAUCAAGUGCUAACAUUGUUUGGAGCAGAAAGAAUGUGGAAUAAUGUUGCACUCCCACCAUAGUUAAGUUUUCUCAUAGCUGGUAAUCCUGUAUAAAAACCAAAGAUAAUCUCAUGAAAAGGAGCUUGUACAGUUAAUGUUAGUAAACUCACAUUGCAGGUACAGCCAAAAAUGAAGCUAGUGUUCUUUAGGAAUAAAUAAGCCAAAAAAAGGGUGCAAAGAUGAACAGGGAGCCAUAUACAUUAAUUGCAGGAGCUCAUAAGGAGAUAUUGCCAUAGAUGCCUGAAGCAUUACCGUGUUAAAUUGAUUAGUCCAACUGUUGACAACCUCACAUGAGAGGAGCUUUAAAAACUUGGAAAGAAAACAAAAAGGUAAGCAAUAAGCAAACAACUGAUCCACACAUGGCCCAUCCUGUAAGAGCAGGUUAGUUGAUAGGUGCUACAGGAAUAUAAAAUGAGCAACCCCUUGAGGUCACAUUGAACCUUUUAAUCUCUGCAAUGGAGGAGCAGACCAACCACAAGGAGAAGGAAGAAAGAAAUUUAGCAAAGUAAUCCCCAGACUAAACGGAUCCAUUGGAUCUAACAGUUCAGAAACUCUGGUUAGAAUCGCAUCACACGAACACCAAAACUUUAACUCACAUGUCUUGCACUUGCACAUCGCUUGCGCCCGUGGCAAGGCCGCCGGAAAACCUCCGGCUCUAUCAGUUCGUCGUCACGAGCUGCAGCGUUCCAAAGUUCGGUGCACCACACGCAGCAUCGGCAUGUGGAAAAGGCACCCUUUUGGCCACCAGAUCGCAGCAAACCCCCGCCUUAUACCCACCGAACCAGCAGCACCGCCAAAACCAGCAAGGCAGCAACUAGCCUGACGCGUGACGCGUUCGCGCCGACCUCUCCCAUGAAGCCCCGUCACUCGACUCCAGGCGGCCAGGCCUUGUCUUGGCGCGCGAUCGGCCCACCGCGGCACCGAGCCGAGUCCCACACGACCCCAAGGCCCCGAGCCGAGUCCCACACGAGCCACCGCGGCACCACAGCAGCCGGGCAAGGCAAUCAAGAGCACCGGGCGCCGUCAGUCCGCUCGCCCUCGUGGCGCGCGACGGGAGCGUGCGACCCCUCGUGGAGCGUCGCCUCCCCCGCUCACCGCGGCGGGCACGGCCCGGGGACGGGGAGGCCCUCCACACCACGUGGCCGGCCGCGGACUCCCAUGCCCGCCGAUUUUUAAUCUCAGCGGCUCGCUCUCGCCUCGCCUGCGCGUCGCUUGCCAUCGAGACGCAACGCAGCGGCAUCCAUCACAUCACAGGCCUGCCGCUCCUCUCCACUCCAGUCUCCAUUCCUCCGCGACAACAGCCGAGAGCGAGACGAAACAGCUUCUCCGAGGCUCUAGAGACACUGCGAGCAGCGGCAGCGGCAAUCAACCCGCCUACGCGAAAUGUCCAUCUCGAUGCGCCUCGCGAUCCCAGCGCCCGCCGCGACCGUGGCGCCGCCGCGGCUGAGGGUGCGGGCGGCCGGGAACGCGGGCUCUCUUCCCGCCGCGCGCGUCGCCCUGCGGACGGAGACGGACGCGCUCAGGUGAGGCUCUGCCCGCCCUCGGUAAAAUUCCGUUCCAGCUGGUUAAUCCAAGCUGCCGUGGUGACGUGCAUUUGUUGCAGGGGAUGCGCCUCGCUGCCCCUGAAGCCGCAGCCGCUCGCCGCGGGCGCGGACCAGCCGAGCCGGCGUCGGGGGGCGGCCGCCGUGUGCCACUCGUCGGCGCACCUGAGCGCGCGGACGAUGCAGUGGAUCUCCGCCGGGGCCAGCGCGUGAGUGCCUCCUAUCACGCCACUCGAAAGUCCCUUUCCGUUCUCUUUCUCUCGGUGAUACGCAGGAAAGCUCUCAUUCCCUACUCUCUAGUUGGGUGGAUGCCACCCGCACAUUCAAAACCAUGUGCUUUGUUCGUUUGCCCUGCAUCUGUUCGCCAUUGUGCCCCUGAGGAUCCUGAGCCAUUUGGAAAUGUUGGGUAUGGUAACCGUAUACGAUUGCGACAUGUGCCAUGAUAUGAUUUGUGAUCUUAUGCAUGUUAGUCGUUGGGAGGGCAAGACACAUUUGUUAUGCUGAUCAUAUACUCUAGCUAGUGCUGACACACUGGUCCUGAUACAGGGGUUAGAGAACACGGCAUCAGCAGAUGCUGGCACCAUUGUAGCUAGUUCUCACUCCAGUGAAAAACAAAUGUCGUCCUAUUUAUGAUAUUUAUUUUUCAUGUGGAAAGAUAUUGCUGGAUUGUCUUGAAAAAUGAUGCAAAUAUUGUAGACUUGGUUUAAUGGUACCAGAGUUUGGUCCUCUUGGCAUAACCACUUAGCUUGCUUGUGUAUCUGCUUUAUGCUUCUGAUCUCUCAAAAAGUUACUAGACAUGCUCAUAUUGUGAAGAGAAUGAACUAACAUGCAAAACUUGAUUUAAUGCAAAGGUAAUCUUCGUUCAGAUGUUUGAUGAUUUAUCAGAGCUGUUCAUGUAAUCCAUAAUAUUCUUCCCUAGGACGGACACUUGGACAGUAAUGUAAAAAAAUGGAAUGAAACAGGGAGAAAGAUAGUCUGUUUAGAAAUUCAGCUACUGCUAACUUUUUAGUGAUUUCCGCAUAAUACCUGGGAUUGUGGAACACAUACUCCUACACAGUAUAAUUUCGCAGUACCAUGUAAGAUUUUUAUUUGAGCAAUGUCAAUCUUUUGUCUUUUGCAGAGUGCUAUUGCUUGCUAAAGGAACAGCCAUACACAAAUCUUUCCUUGUGCCGUUUUUUGCUUUGCAAGCACCUUGCAGCAUAAUCUCAUGGAUCAAGUAAGAUGUUGCUAUAUGUGGAAAGAAUAAUUCAUACCUUGGUUUUCUAAUCUUCCUUUGUCUGCAAUAUGUUAUAAUGUUUCUUGGUUUCAAUGAAAGUUCUAUAUUGACGCCUCCUAAUUUUAUGUUACCAACAUCUGUUUAUAGGAGUGAUUAUGGCCAAUGGACUGCUUUUCUUGCUCUGUUGGUGCGCUUGUUCUUCUUCAUUCCAGGUAGAGUAACAAACACCAUUUGUAAAACAUUCAUGGUGAAGUUUCUUUCUUGUCAUGCUAAUAAAUAAGUUCACACAUUGUUUGUCAGGUAAUGCAACAUUUACAGUUCUUUUACGGGAACAACUCAGACCUUAUGGCCAACAUGAACAGAUUCCAUUACUUUUUGCAAGUAUUCAUACAAAGUUGAAGCAGAAGUUAUAGGAGGAAUGAGGACACAAUUAGAUCAUAGUUCUAUUGGACCAAAUUAGAAGACAGUUCACAUCUUGUAGUGUAGACUCUGAAUCAACUUAUGUUAUAAAGUCUACAGUUGCUUAUACCUACAUCUGACUAUCAUAGGUGAACUGGAGCUUCCGCUGUCAACAAUGCUGCUUGUGAGUGUUGCUCCUUACCAAUUGAUGAAUCUGAGGUGUGUAACAUUUCAACAUUACCCCUGUUUUGCAAGUGUAAUAGCUAGAUCCUGUAUUCAUCUGCUAUUACUAACAUUUCUGUUGCAUAUUCUUAUGGCCUUUGUUUACACAACCUUUUGUCAACUAAUUUUUUUGAAAUAAAUUUGUCAACUAAAAUAUACAGACUCGGUGCAACUAGCCAAGUAACCACAUUUGCAUCAUAGAACUGAACCAUGUUGUGUGUGAAUAGCAGCAAGCACCUAUGUUGCAUGUCCACAUUUUCUGAUCAACUGUUAUUGAUGGAGAAGCAGUCCACAUUUUCUUUGUUUUCAGUUAAUGUCCUGAUUACGAGGCAUACUGAGGCCACAAAUCACUACGACUUGUGGUGGUAGCAUGUUCUGAAGCACCACAUGCAGAAUUUCAUAUUCUCGUUCUCUUAUGAAAGUUGUUGCUUGAUCUUUGCUAGAAGAAAAAGGUAAUGUUGCUCGUGUUCUCUGAUUCCCAAUUUCUGGUUACAGGGGAACUCAAGGCGGUGCAGUGCUGUCAUUGGCCAUAGCUGGGUAUCUCGCAUUUCAGCACUUCACCAGGGUGGGAGGUCUAGGCAAAGCAUUUGAGCAGGGAUCGGUUAUUGCGACCUUGGCCAUUAUCUGCAUCACAGUCAUCCCCUUAAUGCUGCUAUUCUGAUCUGGACUAGGUUGGCAAGAGUUUGCCCCUCAUUGCGCAUGGAAUGAUGGAUAAAUAAAAAACUUGUAAUGCAACAUCCUUUCAGUCUUCCUAGUUCCUUUCCCCCAAAAAAGACUGAUCUGUUAUAUAGUCCGAAAAGUAUGUACUGAUAUAGCCUGAUGUUUGGCCUGGUAAUGUUGCAAUCCAAAAGAUUGCAUGAUACUCCGUACUUAGCUUCCCUGUCACCUUUUGCGUGCCCCCCGCACAGGGCGUUCUGAUUUUUCUGUCAACAACCCACCUCGUCCGUCACCGAGCGCUUCUUCCUCUGGAUCGGCGCCGGCGGGUUCCGCCGUUCCGCCCUUGGAGGGAGCUUCUCGGGGGUGAUUGGUUGUCUUCCCUCAGGAGCUUGGCUCGCACCAGAGAACCUGGCUGGCCGGAACCAGGAUCUGGGGAUACAAUGGGGUCGUGUUUGGUUGUUAUUUGAGUUGAACCAGGCUGCGAAGGUACGGUGAUUGGUUGCACGUACGAAUCUAAAAUUCAAAAAACAGACGCUGUUUGGUUGGUCGCAUAGAGGCAGUUCGAAUCACCACUUGCAUUGAGGAGGUGAAGUUACCUAGCUGAACAUAGUUUAUGAGGAAAGUAGAGUUUGUAACUAAACUAAAAUUACUUAGACUUUGAAACUAAAACCACAAUUAUUACAGCUUGAACUAAGAUAAUUAAAGCCUCUAACAACAUGAACAUAUAUUUACAGUCCCAUUGAGCAUUGUUGAUAAUAGUUCGAGGUUGCGCCGGUAGGUCAGUAGGUUGAAAUUUGGCACCAUGAAAAGCUUCCAUCGCUUCGUCUUUGGUCUUGUACUUCUUGUAGCAUGCUCCCUUGAAUCCAUUCACCUGAUCAUGGUAAGCCUCCCAACUGCAGUAGACUCUAGUGUGACGACCAACGGUGACAACGUACCACGCCAUGUGUUCUACAAAAUGGACAAAACAAAGUAUCAUUGGCCUUACAAAUAACCUUACAACAAGUGCUAAAUUUCAGAAAACAAAAAUGACAGAUCAUUGGCAAAGGGCUAAUGCUCAGAUUCAGGAACAGGUUAAAGGAAAUAGCAAAAUGACAGCAAUUAGGACAGAACAAAGUCCAAUUGUACUUACAAAUAACCUGACAACAAGUGCUAAAUUUCAGAAAACAAAAAUGACAGAUCAUUGGCAAAGGGCUAAUGCUCAGAUUCAGGAACAGGUUAAAGGAAGUAGCAAAAUGACAGCAAUUAGCACAGAACAAAGUCCAAUUGUACUUACAAAUAACCUGACAACAAGUGCUCAAUUUCAGAAAACAAAAAUGACAGAUCAUUGGCAAAGGGCUAAUGCUCAGAUUCAGGAACAGGUUAAAGGAAGUAGCAAAAUGACAGCAAUUAGCACAGAACAAAGUCCAAUUGUACUUACAAAUAACCUGACAACAAGUGCUCAAUUUCAGAAAACAAAAAUGACAGAUCAUUGGCAAAGGGCUAAUGCUCAGAUUCAGGAACAGGUUAAAGGAAGUAGCAAAAUGACAGCAAUUAGCACAGAACAAAGUCCAAUUGUACUUACAAAUAACCUGACAACAAGUGCUCAAUUUCAGAAAAUAAAAAUGACAGAUCAUUGGCAAAGGGCUAAUGCUCAGAUUCAGGAACAGGUUAAAGGAAAUAGCAAAAUGACAGAAAUUAGCACAGAUCAAAGUACCAUUGGCCUUACAAAUAACCUGACAACAAGUGCUCAAUUUGAGAUAACAGAAAUGACAAAUCAUUGGCAAAGGGCUAAUGCUCAGCUUCAGGACAAGAUUAAAGGAAAUAGGAAAAUGACAGAAAUUAGCACAGAACACAGUAUAAUUGGGCUAACAAAUAACCUGACAAGAAGUGCUCCACCUCCGUUAACUAACAUGAGAGAUCAUUUAGCAAAGGGCUAUUGCGCAGAUUGUGGACCAGAUUAAAGGAAAUAGGAAAAUGACAGAAUGUAGCACAGGUUAUGCAUUAGAUGAAAUAAUGUUGCAAAAUGACAUGAUUUAGGAUAUAAUUGAGAUAAAUGACUGAAUCAGGAAUGUACUGAUCAUGAUUAAAGGCUAAUGACCUCAAAUUCUGAAUUAUAUGCAAGUAGGUACCAAAAUGACAAUAAUGAGGACAACAGAAGCUAUGCAACAUCAAAACAACAGCAACAUUGACAAGGCAGCACAAGUACCUGCACAAAGUUGGGCAUAUGGCAUGACAUGAAAGCAACAAAGCAAGGGCAGCCACUAGAGCACCAUCAUAGGCAAUGGGCAUAUGCUCAGAAUGAAAAUAACAACAACUCAACAACAACCUCAUAGGCAAUGGGCAUAUGCUCAGAAUCAACACAGCAGCAUCAUAGGCAAUGGGCAUAUGCUCAGAAUCAAAAUAACAAUAAAGCAACAACAACAUCAUAGGAAAUGGGCAUAUGCUCAGAAUCAAAAUAACAAUAAAGCAACAACAACAUCAUAGGCAAUGGGCAUAUGCUCAGAAUCAACAUAGCAGCAUCAUAGGCAAUGGGCAUAUGCUCAGUCAUCACCAGUCAGACAGUCAUCACAUCUGAUGAAUCAAUGUUCAAUCACAAAUCAACUACCAGGAGGCUACCAACAGAACAGGGUCAGCCUGACUGCACAAAAGAAUGAAGGAGUGGACCAGGAGGCUCAUGCACAAAAAGAAGCCACCAUCUGAUCAGCAGUCACUGCACAAAAGAAUAGUCACUGCACAAAAGUAGGCCUCUGCACUAGAGCCUCAGUGCAUGUAGAAGUGCUUUGCCAAGUAGGUCUUCAACCACAACACUCUGUGAGAAUCAUUCAUCUUGACAAAAGCAGUACCAUGAGCCUUGUUGCCAAGAAGGUGUUCAUAGGCAGCCAUCAGUUCUUCAUCAGUGAAACCAGGCAUGAAUAUGAUAGCAUCAUAGAGAUCAGGGUGCACAUCCUCUACCUUGGUCUGAAUAAUGGCAUUGGCAACAUUGUUCACAGCAUCAGUCAUCCCAGUCAUCACCAAAAUGUCCCCCUUACUAAGCAUGGAUCUCUUCCUCUUGUUCCCUCCUUCUGAACCAAGAGGACCAGCAGGUUGACCCUUCCUUGCCAUAUCAUCCAGCUUAAUGUGGUCAUUCUCUGAAUCUGCAAAGUCAGAAGGGGACCCCAAAGGUUCACUGGAUCCCAUAGCAUAUUUCCCUGUUGCCAACCCAUUCCCAAAGAUCACCUCCAUCUGCUGGUAGUUCUCAAUAGGCUUGUUCAACAGUUCAGCAUCCUUUGGGUGUGCCUAAAAUGCAAACAACAUAUGGUAUUAGUUCAUAACAGAUGCUCAGAUAAUUGUACAAAUAGUAGUGAACAGAUGGAUUAGUAAAAGUAUCAUUACCUGCACAUAGCCUUUGUAGUGCUCAUCCUCCAAAGUGAUCANNNNNNNNNNNNNNNNNNNNNNNNNNNNNNNNNNNNNNNNNNNNNNNNNNNNNNNNNNNNNNNNNNNNNNNNNNNNNNNNNNNNNNNNNNNNNNNNNNNNNNNNNNNNNNNNNNNNNNNNNNNNNNNNNNNNNNNNNNNNNNNNNNNNNNNNNNNNNNNNNNNNNNNNNNNNNNNNNNNNNNNNNNNNNNNNNNNNNNNNNNNNNNNNNNNNNNNNNNNNNNNNNNNNNNNNNNNNNNNNNNNNNNNNNNNNNNNNNNNNNNNNNNNNNNNNNNNNNNNNNNNNNNNNNNNNNNNNNNNNNNNNNNNNNNNNNNNNNNNNNNNNNNNNNNNNNNNNNNNNNNNNNNNNNNNNNNNNNNNNNNNNNNNNNNNNNNNNNNNNNNNNNNNNNNNNNNNNNNNNNNNNNNNNNNNNNNNNNNNNNNNNNNNNNNNNNNNNNNNNNNNNNNNNNNNNNNNNNNNNNNNNNNNNNNNNNNNNNNNNNNNNNNNNNNNNNNNNNNNNNNNNNNNNNNNNNNNNNNNNNNNNNNNNNNNNNNNNNNNNNNNNNNNNNNNNNNNNNNNNNNNNNNNNNNNNNNNNNNNNNNNNNNNNNNNNNNNNNNNNNNNNNNNNNNNNNNNNNNNNNNNNNNNNNNNNNNNNNNNNNNNNNNNNNNNNNNNNNNNNNNNNNNNNNNNNNNNNNNNNNNNNNNNNNNNNNNNNNNNNNNNNNNNNNNNNNNNNNNNNNNNNNNNNNNNNNNNNNNNNNNNNNNNNNNNNNNNNNNNNNNNNNNNNNNNNNNNNNNNNNNNNNNNNNNNNNNNNNNNNNNNNNNNNNNNNNNNNNNNNNNNNNNNNNNNNNNNNNNNNNNNNNNNNNNNNNNNNNNNNNNNNNNNNNNNNNNNNNNNNNNNNNNNNNNNNNNNNNNNNNNNNNNNNNNNNNNNNNNNNNNNNNNNNNNNNNNNNNNNNNNNNNNNNNNNNNNNNNNNNNNNNNNNNNNNNNNNNNNNNNNNNNNNNNNNNNNNNNNNNNNNNNNNNNNNNNNNNNNNNNNNNNNNNNNNNNNNNNNNNNNNNNNNNNNNNNNNNNNNNNNNNNNNNNNNNNNNNNNNNNNNNNNNNNNNNNNNNNNNNNNNNNNNNNNNNNNNNNNNNNNNNNNNNNNNNNNNNNNNNNNNNNNNNNNNNNNNNNNNNNNNNNNNNNNNNNNNNNNNNNNNNNNNNNNNNNNNNNNNNNNNNNNNNNNNNNNNNNNNNNNNNNNNNNNNNNNNNNNNNNNNNNNNNNNNNNNNNNNNNNNNNNNNNNNNNNNNNNNNNNNNNNNNNNNNNNNNNNNNNNNNNNNNNNNNNNNNNNNNNNNNNNNNNNNNNNNNNNNNNNNNNNNNNNNNNNNNNNNNNNNNNNNNNNNNNNNNNNNNNNNNNNNNNNNNNNNNNNNNNNNNNNNNNNNNNNNNNNNNNNNNNNNNNNNNNNNNNNNNNNNNNNNNNNNNNNNNNNNNNNNNNNNNNNNNNNNNNNNNNNNNNNNNNNNNNNNNNNNNNNNNNNNNNNNNNNNNNNNNNNNNNNNNNNNNNNNNNNNNNNNNNNNNNNNNNNNNNNNNNNNNNNNNNNNNNNNNNNNNNNNNNNNNNNNNNNNNNNNNNNNNNNNNNNNNNNNNNNNNNNNNNNNNNNNNNNNNNNNNNNNNNNNNNNNNNNNNNNNNNNNNNNNNNNNNNNNNNNNNNNNNNNNNNNNNNNNNNNNNNNNNNNNNNNNNNNNNNNNNNNNNNNNNNNNNNNNNNNNNNNNNNNNNNNNNNNNNNNNNNNNNNNNNNNNNNNNNNNNNNNNNNNNNNNNNNNNNNNNNNNNNNNNNNNNNNNNNNNNNNNNNNNNNNNNNNNNNNNNNNNNNNNNNNNNNNNNNNNNNNNNNNNNNNNNNNNNNNNNNNNNNNNNNNNNNNNNNNNNNNNNNNNNNNNNNNNNNNNNNNNNNNNNNNNNNNNNNNNNNNNNNNNNNNNNNNNNNNNNNNNNNNNNNNNNNNNNNNNNNNNNNNNNNNNNNNNNNNNNNNNNNNNNNNNAUUAGCUGGGACUCUAGCAUAUAUGUGAGUGCCAUCUAUAGCCCCAACACAAUCCUACAUAAACCCAACAACACAAUCAUCUACAAAAAUUUUACUCAAUUAUGCAUUAUGUCUGUCAUAAGGAUACUAAUGCGUUACCUUGAAAUAUGGGUACCAUCUUGAGCUGUUUGUAAUCUUAAGAGGUGUCUCAGUUGAUGGAGCCUUAAUGAUCUCAUGCCUAAGUUCACCAAUUGCAUACAACACCUCUUUGAAAUGUCUACUUACUGUCUCUACCGAUCUCCUCCAAGUUUGAUGGAUAACUCUAAACCUUUGGUUAUGCCCAACAACAUGGAGAAAUAUAGCAACUUGCUCUUCUACACUGCUAUGUAUGGUAUCUCUAAGCAAGUCCCUGCCCCUAAGCAAAUUACAUAGCCUAAAGAAAGGGGCUCUUCUCAUGCAAAGCAUGUUUACACACUCUACAUCAUUACAGUUAUAUAUUCUGUCCAAAUUUUUUUGCCUUUCCUCGUCCAUAGCACUCAUUGGGGCAUAACUAAUCUGCGGACGUGAGGAUUUAGCCAGCCUAAGCCUAUUCAGGAAGAAUGCAUACAUGGCAGCCACUAGAGCAGCUGCAUGAAUAAUAAGCAUGCGUCUCUUGUCUUCAAGACCCAUCUAUAUGAAUAACAUGCAAAAACAAGGGUCACUGAUAUGGGCAACAGAUCCUCAGAACUACAUAUAAACACAUCACUGGCAUGGGCAACAGAAGCUCACAUAAAUGUAUAAACAUCACUGGCAUGGACAACAGAAGCUCAGAUCUAAAUGUAUAAACAUCACAGGCAUGGACAACAAGGCUGAGAUCAGUAUCUAAACACAUCAUUGACAAGGACAACAAGGCUCAGGUCAAUAUAUGAAAACAUCACUGACAGCAGAGAACAUGCCUCAGAUGACUAUUGUAAAAUAUCAGUGACAUGGACAACAAUAAUAAGAUCAACAUAGUAGUCAUCAUUGACAUGAACAACAAUGCUCAGACCAAUCUAAAAAUAUAUCAUUCACAUGGAAAACAUGCUCCUAUCCAUAUACACGCAUCAACAUCAUGAACAAGUGUGCUCAGAGUAUGCUCAUAUAUCAAACAACACUGGUACCAAUCAUUUCAACCACCUAUUAACCAUCGACAGCAUGGUUUUAGGAUACCAUGCGCAUGCACAGAGGGGCAAGGGCUAGGAUAUUUUACCGCAACAACAGCAAUAGGGAGAACAGCGUGUCAGAGGACGGGGAACUCAGCUCUGCAAACGAACCACGAACAGAUCAGCGGCGUCCGGAGGAGGAGGGGUCAGAUCGGGAAACCUAGCAACCAAAUAAAAAUAAUAAUCACUCAAAACAGAACUUCUUAUUUUAGAUCGGGUGUGGAAACUUCAAAAAAGUACAUACGAACCAUAAAGAAAUCAGAUCGGGUCCUUCAACUCAAGAAUCGUACCUAGGAACAACCGAAGAACUCAGAUCCAGUGGGGGACUGCGUGUGUCACAUAAGAAAAGGACCGGUCAGUGGGAUCAUCGAACCCUAGGGUUACGGUUUUGACGAAAUCCGAACAAAGGAUGCAAACAAACUUGCCUGACCCAACAGAUCUGUCAACAACUCGAACCUGCGAACCAAAACAAAGACAUGGGGGUGGUAGAUCAGGCCUCCGGAGAUCCGAAACAACAACGACAGGGGACAAGGCUGGAACCCUAACCUGCGAGCCGCCGAUGGAGGAACAAAUCUGCGCGAGAGGGAAGGGGAAGGGGAAGGGUCGGGGUCGACAUUUAUGCCCGCGGAAUGGCGCGAAAUCGCCCGGUAACCCUAGCGAAGGCGCCAAAGCUUCCCGCGUGCACGCGCCGAAGCUUUUUCGCCCGCCGCGCGCUCGCCUUGCACGCGCCGCUGCACCUGCGGAGCCUGGCUCUGGGGAGAAGGUCGAAUCGGCCGCACCACGGGAGCUAGGCUCCCAGGGUGUUUUUGCAUCCGGCGAACCAGGCCCAGCGGAAGGCCGAGGAAACCAAUCAGGCCUGUGUUGCACGCCGGGAGCCCGGUUCCGGGUACAUCCGACCAACCAAUCACACCCCUCAAGGUCCUGGCGCUGCAGCUGGACCCGCUGGCAGAGUGGCAGGCGUCGGCGGUGCAUGCGCUGCAGCCUGCAGAUCACGGCGAGGCAGCUGGACUGCUGGAGAACACGCUAUCGCAGGGCACGGGCAAGCUGCAGCAGACGCUCGUCGACGCCCUCUUGACCGUCGACGCGCCGGACGAUGGUACCGCCGGUGCCGGCGGCGGGUACGCGGCGCGGCAGAUGGCCAGUGCGGUCGGCGAGCUCGACGACCUCGUCAGCUUCGUGGACCAGCUGCAGGUGACUAGCCGGCCGCUGCCUAGCUAGUUGCAACUUGCAAGCAAGCAAAUCUGGGUCGUCCUUGUUCUGAGUUCUGAACCUCUGCGUUGUCGGCACAGGCGGAUCAUCUCUGGCAGCAGACGCUGCAGAACAUGAACAAGAUCCUGACGCUGCCGCUGGCGGCGCGGGGGCUCCUGGCCGCUUCCCGACUACUGCCAGCGGCUGCGCGCGCUUAGCUCGCUCUAGGCGGCGCGCCCGUGGGAACCAGGCAACCAUCGUAGUGUCCGUUCUGGGCAGGCGCAGGUGACGGCGACUGCAACAUUUGGAGCGACGGCGGUGGCGAGGCACUCAGCUCUCUCUGGAUGUAACGUGACAGAGAAUGUGCUUCAUAUGUCGGUGGUCAACGAAUCGUGAUAUAUGCACUUAGCGAGAAUGACUAGGCUGGUAUUUUUAUAUUUUUUUAAAAAAAAAUUAGACAAGUUUUUAGAACACAAGUCCAAAACGUAUUUAAAACUCUUCUUUAAAAAGUUUUAAAAUGAUCUAGAAAUUUUAUUUGGAAAAAGAUCAGUACGAGAAUAUUUAAAGUACCUUUUAAGAAUAUUUUUGAAAAAAAUUGUUUGGAGUGUGGGACAAGUAAGGAAAGCACGGAAAGGGAAAGAAAAUUGUAUGACCACACACUUUUCAUUUUUAAAAAAAAUGUACGAUGGAGGGGCCUUGCCUAGAGCACGUUCAAUUAAUUUGACACGUGAUGUUCCUCUCCUUUUUUUGAUAGCAUCAUAGAGCUUUUGUGCAACCGCCAUUGCAUGGCAUCGUGGAUUAUGUGACUAUGUAAUCAAGUUGCAAACUUAUGGCAUGAUAGCAUAGCGGAGUCGGUUUAAUAGCAGUUCAACGGUAGGAAGUUAUAUGAAGGUUGAAGAUCAUCUUUCUCCUUUUCUGAAAUGAAAAAGAUACAUUUUAUCUAUUUUAAAAAUCUUCACCUUUUCGGUAUAAAGUUCUAGGCUUUUUUUUAGACUACUCAUAUAUUUUCUGCAUUUAUUUUAGAAUUAACCAACGCUAUUCUAUUAACCGGCGCUAUUCUUUUUGGUAGGCGACGUACCCGUCGACAGGGAGGUGUCGAUGGUGACUUUGUCAAUCUUGAGAAUUUACCAGCUCGUUUUUCGGAGGUGCUCAUAGGGGUAGGGUUGCGCGCGCGUGUUCGUAUAGGCCUGCCAUUGGAGAGGGUACGGGUAAACCCACUCUUGUUCACACCUAAAUCCAAAUAAUUAUUAUCCACUAAAUCUAAAUAAUUAUUAUCCACUCCUUACCCUCCCCAAUCCCACCCAUAUCCAAUGGAUAAUUAACUUUAUGCUACAUGUAUAAACAUAUCUAAUUGACUAAUUGUACCCUUCUUAUAUCCUACCCUGACCAUUUCUAAUGGGUAUAUAAUUUUUUACCCAUACACUCUCCAUUUGAAGUGGGUGUGAAUUUAGAAAGAGAGUAUGUAUACAAAGUAGUAGACCUGUGGUCAUAGGGGCGAUUGUGCGUUCGUAUAUGUGAGAAUCUAAGUACAGACUGUGUGAUUCGGGGAAAAAAUUUCUAGGCUUGAACAAACAACAAAGCGUGGCAGCGUGCUGCGUGCCUACGACGCAAGUCCGGCUUAAAAUAAACGCUAACACUAACCGCGGACACCGCCUCCUGCGAUAGCAUACGGAUUCACACUCUCCGCUUUCCUGCAAGGAACACGUACUCCGCCCUCCGCACGGGAAGCUCGCGUUGGUUUUGGACGGAGGCGAUGACGCCACCUCCGCCUUCCCGCGUGCAUCUCACAUCUCACAUCUCACGCAGAACUUUGUCCCAUCCAGUCCAGGAAACCUCGAGAACCUCCCCAUUCCCCUUCCUCGGCGGCGCGGCAACCGGCGAGGCGACCAAUCGACCGAGACGCCCCUCCGCGUUGCCGACGGAUCCUCCCUCCACUCCGUACCUCCACGCCGAGCACGCGGCUCUGCCUUGUCGACUCGGUAAGAACGCCCAGCCGGCCAGCCCCACCCUAGCUUAGCUUGCUCCACCCUAGCUUAGCUUGCUUGCUUGGUUUGGAAGGGCGGGCCGCUUGUACGGUCCGCGGGGGUUUCGACCUUGUGGCGAGGUCUCGAAUCCGAGACUGGAUUUUCGUUUCCUCCUGGCUCCUGGGCCGCGUGGGUGCUCCGAUCCGCCUAGUUUGCUGCCGAUUUGUGUUUUUUGUGGUUGUGAUGCACUUUAGUGCUUGCAGGAACAAGGCGUAGAGAGAGAUGGCUAGUCUAACCGGCCUCGCCGCGAACCCUAAUCCGAACAAGUCAUUCGAGGUGUGCUGCUCUAUGAAUUUCGAUGUGGUACUACGAAGGGUACGUUUCUACUGUAGAAUCUGGAAUCAUUAACGUUUGCUUGUGAAAUGCAGAUCCUGCCCAACCCGGGUGACUCAGUCUCGAGCCUCAGCUUCAGCCCCAAGAGCAACCUGCUGGUGGCAACCUCCUGGGAUAACCAGGUAGCUUUGCUUAUGCUGUAAUUCGCAGUUGUUGUUUGUUAAUGUGAUGCAUAAUGUAUCUUACUUGGAUUGGCUGGCUUUGUGUUUUGUGCAGGUGAGGUGCUGGGAGAUUGUUGGCGGGAACAGUCAGCCGAAGGCGUCCAUAUCGCAUGAUCAGCCGGUACAGUCUCAGUGUUUUCCUUGAUCUGGUAGUAUUUGACUUCCAAGUAGUUAGUAUCUUGUGUGCCAAUUGAUUUAUUUCCUAUUUCAGGUCCUCUGCUCCGCUUGGAAGGAUGAUGGAACUACUGUCUUCUCUGGAGGUUGUGACAAGCAGGUCAAAAUGUGGCCUCUGCUGUCAGGUGGUCAGCCUCAGACAGUUGCGAUGCAUGAUGCGCCCGUCAAGGAGAUCGCAUGGAUUCCUCAGAUGAAUCUUCUUGUCUCUGGAAGCUGGGAUAAGACUCUAAGGUGCACAAGUCCACUGUGUUGCUCUCUUAACUUUAUCUUUUUUUCACUUGGAAGUUUAAUCCAUAUCGCUGAUUCAUAUUCUCUUAUGUUGUUAGCAAUGGCUGGUUAUCAUUAUAACAUGUUCUUUAAAAGGAAUAUUAUGUUGCCUAAGUUUGUGAACACUAGUUUUGCACAAUUGAGAAGAUACUACCGCCAUUCCUUAUGUCAACUACCGCAAAUGAUGUAUGCAUCCCCUCCUGUUUAUCUUUGCAUUCUAAUCUCAAUACCCUCUAUAAACCUCAAGGUUUAACUACCAUCAUAUGCUUAUUUCCUGUGAUCCUAUCAUAUGUUAUGUUUGCAGCUGCAAUGGAUUAUGCAUUUAUGCUCCAUGUUAGAGGCUAUAUAUAAGUAAUCAUUGACUUCGUAGCUAGUGCUAAUAUGAAGUUUACAUGAUGUGAUUGCUGUUAUAAUAUUAUUUCAGAUUUUUUAGCAUUCGUGGUCGUAGGUUUCAUCAUGUGUUUCAGAUUUGUUUUAGGAAACAUUGUGAAAUUCAGUCUUCAUCCUGUUAUUGUGGAGUCUAUUAAUUCUGAUCCCUAGACAUUAUACCCUCUAAUUAUGAUGACUGAUUUAUUCUUAUCUACCUUCAAUGCUGAUCAAUACGCUCAUUAUAGGUACUGGGACACGAGACAAGCAAAUCCUGUGCAUAUCCAGCAACUUCCAGAGCGUUGCUAUGCUCUUACAGUGAAUUACCCCCUUAUGAUUGUGGGAACUGCUGAUCGUAACCUUGUAGUCUUCAACUUGCAGAAUCCUCAGGUGAUUGUCUUGUCAUUACUAGUUAUGCACAUGUUGAUUCCUUUAAUUUCAGUUGGGCAUUGAUGAUUUGUGUUAUUCAACUGACUUAUUGUGCUAUGUUUGGAUCAUUAGACGGAGUUCAAGCGUAUUCAGUCACCACUAAAAUACCAGACACGGUGCCUUGCUGCAUUCCCUGAUCAACAAGGAUUUCUGGUAAUGCUUAAUUAUUUGCAUGUCCUUUACUCUCACUCCUCUGUUUGAACUGAAUAUGCCUAUUUUUACCGUUCUUCACCAGCAAAUCAUUUAUUUAUCAUUUGUGCAUCACAAUUUCUAUUAAACGAAGACAAAUAUAUACUCAUUUGAUUUGUCUUCAUCUAGUCCUUGAGUUUCUUCACUCAAAAUUUUUCUGCAGAACCUAUACCUUACUCAAAUCAGCGCUUGGUAUGGGUGGGGUUGCGAUUUUGACCCCAUAUCAGUUUCACUUUCCUGGCCUAAUGAGUGCUGCAUAUCUCAGAAAUCUGCAUGUGGACUUUCUAACUACUUGAAGUAUAAAUUAUAUAUCAAUAUUACUGCUGCUGUUGUGUUUUGAAUUGCUGGGAUGACUCACUAGAGGGCCUGGAUUUAGUCUCCUAGUCUGUCACUGGCAGCAAACUGUACCUAAACUUACCUACCAUCCACGCUGCCUAGUUUGUGCUCUUACUCAUCCCUAGAACCAGAUCACAACCGAACUGGACUUCUAUAAAAAACCAAACUAUGAACUAAAACAUAUCUAAACCACCCUUAAAUGUACAUGUUCAUGAUGCACACAGUUACAUGAUAGAUUUGCUUUAUUCUAAUUGGAGAUAGUUCAUGAAAGUGUAUAUUUCGUACUCUUGACCAUACCUGGAAACCGGCUAUUUUUGACGCAAUAUUGGUCACUAGAAGGUGUCUUAGAUUGUUUCUGUUAGAGUCAAUUUGGAUAUAAAAUUAUUUUUCCUUUUUGUGCUGACUUUCGAUUCUUUCCUUUUUUUGUGCUUGAUUUAUUUUACAUUGGGUGUUACUAUCUUGGAUAAAAUGGUUGGUACUUGUCAAGACAUACUGUUUUUAUUUCUUUAAAUACUUUCCAUAUGACUUUAAGAACAUUAGAUUUCCAUGUGACUGACCCACUGUUUGCAUUUAAAGGUUGGUUCGAUAGAAGGAAGAGUUGGUGUUCAUCAUAUCGAUGAUUCACAACAAAGCAAGAAUUUCACUUUCAAAUGUCACAGGGAAGGAAAUGAUAUAUUCUCUGUCAAUUCACUGAACUUCCAUCCUGUAAGAUUGGUCUCCUUACUCAUUUGUUAAUUAUAUGUGGGGCUUAUGGUUCUUUUUUUAUAUUGCUUAACAUAUGUUGUUACAAAGCGUACAGAUGCAAUAGACAUGCUGGGUUUUAGUACCUUGUCUCCAUUCUCAGUUGAUUUGUUGAAUAGCAUAAGCUCAAAUUCUUGCCUUCCACAAAAUGUCUUGAGCUAAAGCCUAAAAAUCAAUGUUAUGCUGCAGUUUAAGUUAUCUACAACCAUACACUGCAAUCAUAGGCAUAUGAAUGAUGCAAAGUAUUCACUGUCCAUACAGAUUUAUGCGGACUGCCAAAAACAUUUCAACAGAUUUUUACUUUAGUUGAGCAGUUUUUAUCAUACCAGUUGAAUAUACAUCUAAGAACAGUGUUGAUUGUUUGGCUAUGUUCUUUUUUUGCUAUUUGACCAUUGGAUUGGUAUGGCUGAUUAAUGAUAUAGUAUACCAAUUGAGUUGGUUGUGCUUGUAGGCAUUUCAAUGAAACAAGCAGCACCCACUUUCUUAUGAGAAUUUCCAAAUUUGGGAAUAGCAGUUGGUUCAAAGCUUAGACAUUGUAGUUGCUGAUGUUAAAUUUAGGGAUUCAUAUCUGUUAUACAACUUGCUGCAGGUCCAUCACACAUUUGCAACUGCUGGAUCUGAUGGUGCUUUCAACUUCUGGGAUAAGGACAGCAAGCAGAGGCUGAAGGUACAACAAUUUCCAUGGCUCUUUCUGUUGAUUUUCAGUUUUGUUGGAUAGCAGUUGAUUUCUAUUAUCUUGAUUGUUCUUGAUCUCAUGAUGGUUUGCGGCUUGUUUCUGUGAAGUGUGUGUACCUUAGUAACGGGUAGUGGGCCGCCCCUGUGAUCCAUGACCUUAGAUCCGACAUCCUUGAUCAAGGUUAUGUGAUCUUGGUAAGCAGCUUUAAUGCCACCACACGAUGGCUCAUGAUUUCAUGAAUCAAUGGGCUUAGGGAUGACAGAGGGAGGUGGUUAUGAGGGAAAACAUGGGGAGAAGAAACUGACCUCAGCUGCUAUUUGUUGCUUCUCCUUGUGGCCAUCGAUGCUGCUGCUGCUGUUUGCCGAAUGCACCAUGGUUGUGACCUGUUGGGGUAGAAAGGAGGAUGGGGGAGAGGUGACGGGAUGGAGAUUGAGGGAUAGUGGUGAGAGUGAAAGUUCUUGGAUUGAGGUAUGGGCAUUGUUGUGGUCAAGAGUAACAAGUGAGUUGUCAAGGGAUUGGGAGAGAGCAGAGGGAAGGGGAAAGAAACAGAUUGGUGCAGAGUGGGCCAGGCUUACUUCUUUGUCUUUCCCCCUUUCUUCAUUGGUUUUCUCUCUUUUUUUUCCGAUAUACUUUGAUUACAUGAACAUAUUUUUUAAUCUUUAACAAUAAAUAUUUGCAGUUGAUCCAUUAACCUGGAUUCCUCAACUCAGAUUUGUCCAGUUUCCUGAACUAGCAUCUCAAAGGACAGUGCCCUUCUUUGACCCACAUUUUAAGCCACCCAGAACCCACAUCCCAGGGCACUGCUCGUUGACCCUGAGUUUCUGGCAACUUUGAUUCGUACCCUUUAAUGUCCUACCAUAUUUGUUUAUUGUAGAGCGAAGGGAUGGAAUAUACCCAAAGAUUUAGCCCUGGAUAGGAGUGCUUGGAAAACAGCUAUUCAUGUGCCUGAACCCUGAUUUGUGGCUCUUAUUGGGUUUCAACUCUAGCCUACCCCAACUUGCUUGGGACUUUUUAAGGCUAUGUUGUUGUCGUUGUAUUUGUUUAUUGUAGAGCGGGAAAAUGAAACUGUGGUCAGGUCAUGAGCAAGAACAAUGAAAUCUUGAGCAAGAACAUUUAUUAGUAGAGUUAUAUAGGGUUCGCCCUACCCACUUGUCCAAUCUUGUAAUGACAUCCUAUUUUUUUUCCUGUUCUUAGUAGAUCUAUUAGUACUUUUUUUAAUCUUAAUGAAAGCAAGUUACAUUUUCACCUAAUGGCAUGAAUCCAUUAUCAUGUGAGUGUUUUGCCUUUUUGUUGGUGCCUAGGAAUCGGUUGUUUUUUUUAUGCUCAGUUUGACAGUUUCUCAUACAUUUCAUUUCCUUAUUUUCUAGAGGACAUUCAUUCAUUUCAUAAAAAUACCAUUUUUGUACAGGCUUUUAGUAGAUGCCCACUUCCCAUUCCUUGCAGCACCUUCAACAGCGAUGGUUCCAUAUUUGCUUAUGCGGUAAGUCUACUAUGCAAAUGAUGAUCGAGUGUCUAUCUGUAAGAACUAAGGUUUUUUCCACCACAUUUCACACCAUGUUUUUGAUGAGUUUUGAGCUUUAAAAUAUCUGCCUUUGAUUUAGACAACCUGAUACAUGUAUUAAAUACGCACAAAUCAAUUCAUGGCCUUUCAGUCCGAAGUUCAUGUUUAGGGUUAGGCUGAAUAAAUGUUCCAGUUUAAUUGCUUUUUAAAAUGUGUUCUCUGGUCAUAGUUUCAGUUCGUGUUCCUAGUGGGGUUAACAUGGCUGAAACAUAAAACGAGGAAGGUAGGAAGAGUUACACAAAUUUUGUGUCCAAUUACAGAUCAUGUAGCGGUUGAUUUGGUAAGAGACCCUUAUUGCAGUAGAUGUGUAGAAUCAUCAUGAUUCCAAAAGAUGCUAGAGACCGUUAAAACGCAUAUAUUUAUGCCCUGUAGCUUACAAUCUAGUAUAAUGCUAAUUUUGACACUAUUGUUAGAAAGUUAAUAUCAUAUCAUGUACUCCCUCCAUCCCAAAUUACUAUUCGUUUUGGCUUUUCUAGAUACAUAACUUUUGCUAUGUAUCUAGACAUAUUAUAUAUCUAGAUGCAUAUCAAAAGUUAUGUACCUAGAAAAGCCAAAACGAACAGUAACUUGGGACGGAGGGAGUAUAAAGUUACAAAACUAAGUUGUGUGAUCGAAUUGAAUUUUUGGAUUUUACUUCUGCACUGGUUUGGUGUUGUGAGAAUUUUUUUUCUUAUCGUACUUGAAUCAAUGCAAUGAAGUGCUGUUAGCCCUUCUACCAUAUUUUUUUAUGUAGGACUAAUGAUGCUACUGUAAUCAAGAUAAAUACUCCAAAAUCUAAUAGGGUAAAAAGUUAUCGAUAGACAAACUGGGAUGCUAGUAUGUAUUAAUAAUUCUGUUCUAGUAUUUCGUAGAAGGUAAUGCAGCAACAUUUUUCGAUGGCUACCAAUGCUAGCAUUCACCAACGUAUUUCCAUUAUCUGCUUUACAUCUUCAAUGGAGUAACCAUCACUAUUACAAAAUAGGUCUGCUAUGAUUGGAGCCGUGGGGCCGAAAACCACAACCCUGCAGCUGCAAAGACAUCCAUCUACCUCCACAGUCCACAGGUAAGUUCUGCUUACAGCAUUCAUCCCUGCAAGGUUUAUUUAUUUUGGCAUUGAACAUCCCUUUUUUCAAAUAGGAAUCUGAGGUCAAAGGAAAGCCGCGGAUCGCGACAGGCCGGAAGUGAUUUCGUUCCAACUUGCGGGAUCUGUGUCUUUAGGCCAGUCACCAGUUUUGUUAUGCUGCCUCCUAUAGUCCUGGAAGUCUGGUUGAUGUAAAUUUCAUCGUACCUGUAGGCACUGAUGAUAGGGUUUCUGUUGCAAGUCUCGACAUGGUAGUAAUACCUGGUGUUUGCAGUGUCUAGCCUUCGAGGAAUUGUGUAUCGAGGUGGUUUUCAGUGAUGUAAAUUAUCGUGCAUAUGUUUCUAUAAUCUAUAUCGAUGGAAUUGUCAGUAUCUUUUGCAAGGUAACCCUAUCAUGGUUAAAAAGAAACCCUAUGCUUACUGGCAGGUUUAUGUGAAAGAUUAUGUAUAAUGUGUGUGAUAUGUAGCUUGAGCCUCUUGGGCUGAUUAUACAUGAGUACAUGGCUUGGAGGCAAGUAGCAUCUCCUAGAGAUAAGGAAGGUUAUCCCAGAAUUAGAAUCAAUCCUAAACUAACCAUAUCUGGAGUUGCCUAAGAUACUACAUCUCCCCGCAGUCAUAACGGGAGCGCGCAGGCGCAGACGAUGAGACUGGAGAAUAAGUUGAAAAGAUAACAUCCCUCUGCAGUCGCAAUCGUCAAUACGCCGCAGAUUGCCUAAUAUACUACAUCUCCCUGCAGUCACAACGGGAGCGUGCGGACGAUGAGACUGGAGAAUAAGUUGAAAAGAUGACAUUCCUCUGCAGUCGCAAUCGUCAAUGCGCCGCAGAUGUUGUGGCUGGGGGCGUGGGUUUGAAGCAUCAGUGAAGGCGUCCGAAUACACAAAAGCAGCAGCUUCCUGUCAACAGGGUCAGCAGGACAAUGAGUCGAGUGUGAUGGUAGAUGGUGCAGCUAAAGAGCGCAAUUGCAUCUUCCUUCAGCAGCAUUCGCGGCGGUGUCCACGAGCGUGCGGCAAUAGCUGCGGACUCAGACCGAGAGCCAGUGUGACGAGGACUAGUAGCAUGGGUGGCGCCACCGCCUGAAAAGGCGGCGUCGCCGACGAGGAUGGCUUGAUCACGAGCGUUGCCGCAGUAGCCUGAAGGGCGCAACGACAACCUCGUCUUCGGGAGUGUCGAUGAUGAAGUGACGACGGGACGACAGGGCGACACAACCUGAUCUUUGAUCACGAGCGUUGCCGCAGGAGCCUGAAGGGCGCAACGACAACCUCGUCUUCGGGAGUGUCGACGAUGAAGUGACGACGGGACAACAACGCGACACAACCUGAUCUUUGAUCGGGAAAAAGAAAAGCAGCAGGAAGAGGCCCACAGAGAACUGUUCUGACUGGCGGAGGCCAGUGGAGGACCGGUCGGACCGGCGUCUUCGACCGCGCUGGUCGGUGCGGUCAGAUGCGUCGGUCGGAGGUAGCGACAGAGCGGUGGAGAGAGGUCGGGGCCGCUGGAUGCGCCGGUCGGGGAUGCUGACGGAGCGUUGGGGGAGGGGGCAGCGCCAGGAUGCGACUAGAGGGGCACCCGCCGCCGCCGGGUGCCGCUACGGUCUGGAGAAGUGGAGGGCCGCCCGUCGUCGUCGCCGGGGGCCGCCACGGGGGCGCGGCCUGGAGGGGUGCCCGCCGCCGUCGGGGGUUGCCGCGGCCGGGAGACGCACAGGCCGCCGCCGGGGGCCGCCACGGCCUGGAGGAGUGGAGGGCCGCCCGCCCGCCGCCGCCAGGGGCCGUCGCGUGGGCGCGGCCUGGAGGGGCGCCCACCGCCGCCGGGGGCCACCACAACCUGGAGGAGUGGAGGGGCGAUCUGCUUGCUGCUUGACCAUGAUCGGCACGGCGGAUCAGAGAGAUCGGCCGUGCAUCCUACGAGGGCGCUGCCCCCGGUGAAGAUUGAUCUCCCCGGGGGCGGCGCGAGGGCAAGUGGAAGCCGGAGGUCUAGGGUUUGUAACCUAGACUCGUGAUACCAUGUAAAAUUGUGUAUAAUGCGUGGGAUAUGUUGCUUGAGUCUCUUGGGCUGAUUAUGUAGGAGUACAUGGCUUGGAGGGCAAGUAGCCUCUCCUAGAGAUAAGGAAGGUUAUCCUAGGAUCACAAUCAAUCCUAAACUAACCAUACCUGAAGUUGCCUAAUAUACACUAACAUUAUGUAUAUAAGACCUAGUGUUAUACUGGUACAUUUAACCGCAGAUCUCAAGUCUAUUUAGGGUCAGACUACAAAGGAUGUUGCUGGCAUUUAUGGAGCCUCUUAAUCUUAGUUUACGUGCCAGAGGAUGCAAAUGUCGAUGCAGAAGAAAUAAUGUAUUUCCAUCCGAACAAGGCCGCUUCUCUUGUUCUGGGCCUCGUAGACAAAUUUAUGUUCUUAUCGUGUCUGGCAGUAGUAGAUUUCGGCCUGCUUGUAAUUGUAGCCACCGAUUUAUGGAAAGCUAAUCGAAGAAGAUGCUACGAGGCACCAGCGUACCAUAGGAACCUGAAACAGCAUUCUUUUUGUCGGACGUCAACGAGCACAAUGAACAUACUAGAUAUUUUGGAAACGGUAAUGCUACAAAACUGACAUCUGGAAUCUUAAAAAAAAUCAGAUGGCUUGACAUAUGUUACAAUAGUUAAGUACUAUUAUUUUUGCAUGUUUCACAAUGAAUGUUGCAUAAAACAUAGCGUUUAUGUUGCGACAGGAAUUUUCUAUCCCAAAGUCGAACGACGUAGUCAUUUUUUCACAUAUUUUUUAAUGUUGCAACUAUAAAUUUUCGAUGUUGUAGAUAUUUUAUUUUGACGUUGCAACGAGCGUCCGAUGGGAAAAUUCCAUUGAAAGUCCGGGCGCUAGCAGUGCCAUUCCGGAAAAGACGAACAUCACGUUGACGCCGGGUUAUGGAGCCAAGAUAGGGAUAACCAAUCCGAAACAGUAAUCGACGGUGUCAACAGUAAAGCCUUGUGGUCGGCUUCCACCUUCCCUAAUCCCUAGCUUAGCGCAGAGGAAAGAACACCACCUUAGUAUGUCCCAAACCAGGUAGCAACAACUCAUGCGGAUCUGCAACAGCUGCUGCCACUGUCGUCUUGCCACUCCUCUGCUUCCUCUUAUUCCUUUUCAUCAGUCUCACCGUGUUCGAAACACCACGGAGGAAUCAAGGAAAUGAAGAUGAGGAUGAUUACAGGAAACAACAGGCUGUUUGGAAGGAUAGAAAAACUUACUACCACCCUCAAGGGUGACCUUUUGUAAGCCUCUUGUCUUGUAUAAUCUCAAUUUCCCACAUUUUUAGCCACUCGGUCAAUGUUCUAUACGUUUGAUCGAUCCUAUUCAAGAGAUAGAGAAAAAGGGGAAAACAAAACAUAAGCAAGAGAGUGUGAGAUCGAUCCUCUCUGGAAUGUGCGGUGCUGUCAGAGGAGAGGUUGAUUGCAAACAAGAGACAACGCCUCUUUUCGAUUACAAGCACCUUGCUGUCUUGUUAGGCCAAACUAAAGACACAACAAUAUCAUAUGAUAUCAAAUGAAUAUGGUUAGAUCCAUUAUAAAAUAUAUUUUUCAUACUUCUUUGGUAUUGGUAGAUACCAACAAUCCCUUUUUAUAAACUUGUUAUAAAAAAUCAUGCUAAAAACUCAGUUUCGAGCCCCCUCUAGCUCAAAAUAUUUGGAUGUCUAUUUCUUCUUAAUGAAAAAUCACCUAGGAGCUAUGUUGAUCUAUUUUUUUUAUAAACUUCACUAACAAACAUGUUCAUGCGUUGCAACGGGAGAAAAAUAUUAGAUUCAAAUAAAACACUCAAAUUACUAUAUAUUUAUAUAAAUUAUAUUAUUCCAUAACUUACUGUACUCUACUCCGAAAUAGCUAUGAGCGCUCUAUUAUAAUUGAUAUGAUACAAAUACCUAGUAUGUUGCAGGAUCUAAGUAACGGAAAUACUAUGAAAUCCCUGUCUUUCUGGAGAUUUUUCUAUACCUACAUAAUAGUUUUUGUAGCAGUACAUUUUACAUUAACUGGAGGGACUUUCAUGUAAACAUGCCAAGCCUUAUCCCUUUUCUACAACCGUCCAGGCGUAUGAGGCAUGUCCUGCCGCUUCAAUGUGCCGGUACCAUAUGGCAAACGGCGGCGGCAGCGGCCGCGAACAAGGCGCCUGCGUGUGGCGCCCGGACUGCAGGACGCUGAAGCAGGGCAGGAGACGGGCAACGAGGAAGGCGCCAACGACAAGUCAAAGGAGUAGCUGAUGCUAGCUGUAGCGUGUGCGUCGCGCGUGAGUAUGUGUGUGGGCCAGUGUUGGCAGCGAGGGAGUCCCUGUUAUAUGUUGGGGUAGCUGAACUUGUAAACAUCAAGGUACACGAAAUCUACCCCAGCUUAUGUGUUUAGAUGCACGAAAUCUAGUAGCAUACAAACGUGCAGACCGAGAAUGGAAAGGAUUGGAGAUUGGAGGAUACUCACGUUGGCGGUCUGCCUUGAUCUGCAGAGUCACUGGUGGGCGGAGAUGUGGCAGUGCGUCGACGCCAGCUCCGGCGAGAUCCCGUCACUGGUGAGGGAACGGAUCAAGGAGGUGCCGAGAACUCGAUUUGGAGCCCUCCUAGCACCGGCGACCUUCACGGGGGUGGGAGGCGACGGGCGGCAACCGGCCUCGAAACCCUACCUUCUCUCGAGUUCGGUGGGAGGCGACUGGGGAACCGAAGAUGGGAGUUCAGAUGGGAACCGAAGAACGGAGAUAAGCCUGCAGCUGUUCGGCUAGGCUGCUAGGCUGUUUCUGUUUGGGCUGCAGCCGAACGAAUGGGUUGUACAGCAAACAACUGCAGUCGCCUAAAAAUCUCAAGCGAACAGACCCCAACUCUUAUCAAACAACUAAAACAGAAAUGUGAAGAGAAAUCCUUCCUCUCUCGGUUCCCAACUUCCUCUCUCGAUCCGAUCGGUCCUCUCACAUCGUCGGCGAUCGUUGGUGGCCACGGGUACGAUAGUUGGUAUCAGAGACGGUGUAUCCUCGGCCCGCGUUGUGUGCGAUCCGGAAAGCCGAUAGCCUCGAACCGAAAACAGGGUAGGUCGGUGCAGAUCUCGCCAUUUGCCAUGUAGAACCGGCGACGGCGAUCGAUCGGCUGUAAUUCCUACGCUACACUGUUUCGGCUUGCGGGCGAUCAACCAUGGCGCCACUGAAACCCUCCGUGCAAACCUAAUUCGUCCUGGAGGCGAUAGCGGUGGCGGCACACCAGGGCGACGAGUGCUGGGACCGUGUGCUGGAGAGCCUUGAUCCGCUCUUCCGGCGCGUGGACGAAGUCAAGCUCGCCCAACAGCAGAUGCAAGCUAAUCUGGAUCUCAACAACAAGGCAAUUGAUCAAGUGAUGCGGGAUCAGGACAUCAUGGCGAAGCAAGUUGAGGACACGGGUAGAGCGUGGCUCAACUACAUCUGGAGCGUAUGGCGGAGGAGGAUCUAGGAGGAGCUUCUGGUGGAUCUUCGACUUCGACUACUCCACCUCGUCGACGCCAGCCGGUACCACAUCCCCAUCGACAUGGUGAGCCACCCUCUAACCGUUCGACGUUUGGUCCACAUCGGGAGUCUGGGGAUAGGGUGCAUGAAUUUAGGGGGCUGUACCUAAAAUGCAAUUUCCGUUGUUCACUAGGAAGAAUCCAAAAAUUUGGAGAGACAAGUGUGAGGACUAUUUCAGAAUUUUCAAUGUGCCUGAAUCAAGGUGGAUCACUUUAGACACUAUGCAUAUGGACAAAAAUGCUGCUAAAUAGGUUCAGGUGCAAAAGCGUACGAAAGGGUUAGGCACAUGGGAGCCGUUUAUGGAUGCAGUAGAAGCUAAGUUUGGAGCUUAUGAUUAUAUUCAUGCAUUGAGUAAUCUGUUAGAGCUGAAGCAAGGGGGUUCUGUGGAAGAGUAUGCUACUGAAUUCGAGACUUGCAGUUCCAAAUUGAAAUGCACAACAAUGGUUAUGAUACUAUGUUUUUUGUGACUCAAUUCACAAGAGGGCUGAAACCAGAGAUUUCAGCAGCAUUACAAUCUCAAAUGCCAGAAACAAUGGAAAGGGCCAUCAUGUUGGCCAAGAUCCAGCAAUAGUUAAUGGAAAAGAACAAGUACAAAUUUCAGAGGGGUGCAAGUUCACACAGAUACUCAGUUCCUUCUGUUGGCAGCAAGUCAGAUUCCAAACAAUUAACACUUCCUUCUACUUUGAGCAAGGAAAGAUAGAAGUUGGAUUACUGCAAGGCAAAUAACCUAUGCUACUAUUGUGCUGAACCUUUUGACCAAUCACAUUUGUCAAAGUGCACAAAAAGACCAAGAGCACAUAUGAAUGCUUUGGUACCGAAUGAUCUAGAUGUGAACCUGACUGAUGAGGUGUUGGAGCAGUUGGCUAUGGAAGAUGCAUUAGUUGAGGAAUUCUAUUCCCUAUCCGUCAAUGCAAUAGCUAGUACUGAUGAAGGAGAAGCCCUCAAAAUGAGAGCACUACUGAAGAACAAAGUCAUGCUUAUCCUUGUGGAUAGUGGGAGCUCACACAGUUUUGUUAGCAGUUCAUUCUUAGCUAAAGUUGGUAUUCAACCACAACCAAUGAAGCCCAAAAUGGUGAAAGUAGCUAAUGGUGAUACUCUAAUCACAAAUUCUUUUGUACCACAAUUGGAAUGGUGGAUCCAGGGAUAUACAUUUAACACUAACAUGAAAGUGCUGGACCUAGGAGCCUUUGAUGCAAUAUUAGGCUAUGAUUGGCUUAAAUCUCACAGUCCAAUGACUUGUCACUGGGAGAACAGGACUAUGGCAUUUGAGGAUAAAGGGAGGCAAAUCUUUUUACAAGGAGUCAAACCACCACCACUCGAGCUGCAAGAGCUUAAGGUAGAUCAGUUGGCAAAAUGGUGUGCAGGCAAUGAGAUUAGGGCUUUUGCUAUAGUGGAGACACUAGAAGACACAACAGAUCAGUUUGUUCCACCUACAGUACAGGCUUUGCUGGAUCAAUAUCAUGAUGUCUUUGAGGAUCCGAAAAGGUUACCUCCUGAGUGACCUUUGGAUCACUCAAUCCCGCUUCUACCCAAUGCUAUUCCAGUAAACUCCAAAUCUUAUCGAUACUUACCACUUCACAAAUAUGAGAUUAAGAAGCAAGUGAAAGGGAUGUUAGCAGCAGGAUUAAUCACUCCAAGCACCGGUCCAUUUGCAUCACCAGUACUUCUUGUGCAGAAAAAGGAUGGUAAUUGGCGCUUUUGUGUGGAUUAUCGCAGAUUAAAUGAUAUCACGGUGAAGAAUAGGUUCCCUAUGCCCAUCCUCGAUGAAAUAUUGGAUGAACUAGCAGGCACCAAGUAUUUUUUCAAACUGGAUAUGCGAUCGAGCUAUCAUCAAGUACGUAUGAAGAAAGAAGACGAGCACAAGACGGCUUUCAAAACACACCACGACCAUUAUCAAUUGAAGGUAAUGCCAUUCGGUCUCACCAAUGCACCAGCUACAUUUCAAUGCAUCAUGAACACAAUUUUGGAACUUUUUCUCAGAAAGUUUGUACUAGUAUUCCUAGACAACAUACUCAUCUAUAGCCCUAAUUUGGAAUCUCAUGUGAAACACAUUAAAAUGGUUCUGGACAAGCUGAGAGAACAUAACUUAUACAUGAAGUUUAGCAAGUGCUCUUUUGCUCAAAGCCAAUUAGACUAUCUUGGGCAUAUCAAUACUGAUAGAGGAGUGGCAACUGACCCUGACAAAACUGAAGCAAUGGUCAAGUGGCCUGUUCCAACUAAUAUAACUGAGCUCCACGGUUUUCUAAGCCUGACUGGGUACUACAGAAAAUUUAUCUAGCAUUUUGGGAUAAUUGCUAAACCUCUCACAAAUCUGUUGAGGAAGAAAUAGUUUGCUUGGUCCUCUGAAGCACAAGAAGCUUUUACUAAAUUGAAACAAGCUAUGAUCACUGCUCCAGUAUUAGCAAUUCCAGAUUUUGUUGUGCCAUUCAUAGUGGAGAUAGAUGCUUGUGAUAUGGGGAUAGGGGUUGUUCUGAUGCAACAUGAUAAACCUGUGGCCUAUUUGAGUAAGGCAUUGGGACCACUACAUCAAAAGCUUUCCAUAUAUGAGAAAGAAUUCUUACCUCUCAUUAUGGCAGUGGAGAAAUGACGUCCAUACUUUCAAAGGUAGGAAUUUAUCAUCAGAACAGAUCACAAGAGUCUCUAAUAUUUGACUGAACAAAAUCUGCACUCUGAAAUGCAGAGAAAAGCAAUGACUAGGCUUAUGGGCCUGCAAUUCAAAGUGGUGUACAGAAAAGGGAAGGAAAAUCUAGCAGCAGAUGCAUUGUCUAGAGUCUGUCAUCUAAUGGCUAUUCAAGCUGUCUCUGAAGUUACACCAGUGUGAGCACAAGAAGUGAUGAAUGCUUAUACUACUAACCAACAAGCACAAGGGUUGUUAACCAAGCUAGCCAUUCACGGUCCUGAUGAACAAGGGUGUUCUCUAGAGAAGGGGUUGAUCAAAUACAAGGACAAAGUGUGGAUAGCAAACAAUUCAGCAUUACAAACUAAGCUGAUAGCUGCUAUGCACUCUAGUGCAGUUGGAGGCCAUUCUGGCACAAAUGCUACAUACCAAAGAAUAAAGAAGCUGUUCCAAUGGAAAGGUCUCAAAGCAGAUGUGGAUAAUUACAUUAAGCAAUGCCAAAUUUGUCAACAAGCCAAAUAUGAGAAUACACAUCCUUCUAGUCUUCUACAACCAUUACCUAUUCCACAGGGAGCCUGGCAAGACAUCACCAUGGAUUUUGUUGAAGGAUUGCCUUCAUCUAAAGGAUACAAUACUAUCUUGGUGAUUGUGGACAGGUAUACCAAAUAUGCGCACUUCCUACCUUUGAAACAUCCAUUCACAGCUCAAGGGUUAGCUCGGCUAGUUUUGGACAAUGUGGUGAAACUUCAUGAGCUACGAAAUUCAAUUGUCACAGACAGGGACAGAGUGUUUGCAAGCACAUUGUGGUGUGAGCUGUUUUCCUUGUUUGACACUAUACUAUUGAGAAGCUCGGCUUAUCAUCCACAGAUUGACGGGCAGUCAGAGAGGGUCAAUCAAUGCCUCGAGAUGUAUUUGCGCUAUGCAGUUCAUGAUUGUUCAAAGAAGUGGAAGUCCUAGUUAUCAUUGGCUGAGCUGUGGUACAAUUCAUGAUUCCAUACUGCCAUUGGUUGUUCACCCUUCAAAGCACUAUAUGGGUAUGAAGCUAACUCUGGAGCAGCAGUCCCUUUGUCUGACGGAGAACAACCAGAAGCUAUUGUUUUGCUGCAAGACAAGGAAGCUCAUCUGAGUAAUCUGAAGCAACACUUGGCGGCAGCACAAAACAUGAUGAAACUCCAGGCUGAUCGUCACAGAGUUGAUCGCCAAUUCCAAGUGAGGGAUCAGGUCUUGCUCAAGCUGCAACCUUACACACAGCAAUCAGUGGUGAGCAGGCCAUUUCCGAAGUUGGCAUUUAAACCAUUUUGGGUUUGGAGAAGUUAGGAGCAACAGCCUACAAGCUAGAGUUACCAGCACAGUGUCAAAUUUAUCCAGUUUUCCAUGUUUCCCAAUUGAAGCCCUUUACACCAAAUUACACACCUGUCUUCGCUGACAUUACCAAGUUACAUGAUGUCAGUUCCAUUGACCUGGAACCAGAGCAGGUGCUGGAACGAAGAUUGGUGAGGAAAGGAAAUACUGCCAUGCCACAGGUGCGUGUCAAGUGGCGCAAUCUGCCAGAUACUUCAGCUACUUGUGAGGAUUGGUAUGUGGUGAAGGAACGCUUCCCUUCAGCGGUUGCCUAGGGACAGGCAACAACUCAGGCAGGGGGAGGUGUGGCGCCCGAACUGCAGGACGCUGAAGCAGAGCAGGAGACGGGCAACGAGGAAGGCGCCAACGACGAGUCAAAGGAGUAGCUGCCUAGCUGUAGCGUGUGCGUCGCGCGUGAGUAUGUGUGUGGGCCAGUGUUGGCAGUGAGGGUGAGAGUCCCUGUUAGUUGGGGUACCUGAACUUGUAAACAUCAACUCUUAUCAAACAACUAAGGUAGUGUUUGGUUUUGGGAUGAUGUGGGUUGGGUUGGAGCCGACCCAUUUUUGUGGGUCGGAGCUGACCCAUCUCGUGUUUGGAUGAGUAGGUUGGAGCCGGCCCAGUUUUUUGUUUGGUUGAGGGGGUCGAGAGGGUUGGUAUGGAUGUUAUUUUAACACCGUUAGUCACUAUUAGUUGCGGACCCACAUGUCAUCCGUUGGUCCCACGUGUCAUCCUCAUUUUCUUCUUUUUUUCUUUGCCCUCCCUUCCUUAUCUUCUACGAGCCUCCUCUCCACCGCACCACACUGCAGCCUCCAAGCUCACGUGGCCGGCCCCAUCGGGCAGCCUCCAAGCUCGCGCGGCCGGUGGCAGAGCUCGCCCGGCUGGCCCCGGCGAGGGAGCAGCCCGGCGGGCCGGCGCGGGGGCGGCGCGGAGGCGGGCCUUGGCAGGGGUGGCGGCAGUAAGGGGAAGCGGCGAGCCUUGAGAGGGGCGGCGGCGGGUAGGGGAGGCGGCGGUGCUUGGCAGGGUCGUCGGCGGGCAGGGGAGGCGGCGACGCUAUGGACGGAUCUUAGGUGGCGACAGCGAGAUCCAGCCGGGACAUAUCCUUACCGUGUGAGAGAGGGGCGGAGGAUGGGGGCGGCGGCUGUGGCUGGCAUGGGCGGCGGCGGUGGAUGGAACGGCGGCGGCAGAUGGAGGCGUCGGGGGCGCUGGGUUUCCGGAGGGGGAAGUGAUGCCAUGACGGUAGUGUUGCGGCGCCCCAGCGUCACGCACGUGAGCAGAACUAGGUCCGCGCGAUCCCACCGAAAUAAAGUGAUGAGCUCAACCCAGAUCUCAAGGGAAUAUACCCUAGAUGGUUGGCUCCAACCCACACUCGUUUGCAACUAAAUAGGGGUUGAAGUGGGUCGAACCCAUCCUAACCCACUUCGACCCCAGAACCAACCACAUGGUAAAACAGAAACAUGAAGAGGAAUCCUUCCUCUCUGGUUCCCAACUUCCUCUCGAUCCGAUCGGUCCUCUCACAUCGCCGGCGAUCGUCGGCAGCCACGGGUACGACACUGCGCCAGCGAAGGUCAAGCUGCUGGAGUUCGCAGGAUACCUACAGGUGUGCCCCUCACCUCGCCUCCCCUGCGUUGCAUUGCCGGCAACCACGAAGCUUUCCAUGUGCAAUACCACCACCGAGGCUGUGCCGGGCUCACUCAGCGCCACGGCUAGCACAGCGCAUGGUGGGUGGGGGCUAGAAGGGGCACACCGUGCGGGCGAGGUGGAGCAGGUUGAAGGCCUCGAUGUGGCAACCCUUUGCAGCAUGCCAGAUGUAGCGCAGAAGCUAGCAGGGGAGACAUAAUAGUUGAUGAGGGUGGUGGUGCGAGCUGCAUAUCCAUGGCGGCGGUUGGGCGGCAGCUGGAGCUCGAUUCGGGGAAUCGGGGGCGGCGGUGGCUGCAGCUUGGUUCGCGGUGAUAAUGGUCGAUUCGGCAGUGGCAGGAAAGCCAGCACCUCUUCCUCAGGUAGCAGCAGCACACAAGCACCACCACCACCAAAUCCCCGCCGAGCAAUCUAAUCUGGCAAGACAAAUCUUCCUUCUCUUUAUCUCUAUCUGUUCUAUUUUUAAUCAAACAACCAAAUUAGACGAGCCCCAAUCAAUUGCAGGUAGACAAGCGUGGAUCAGCAGCUCCCAAUUCUCCUUGCAGCCACGCCGGGAAGAAGCGUUGCAGGGGAAAAAGAACAGGGAACGGCCGAACGGAUAAGCUACAUGGACCAGACAGGGAGAAAGAAAUACGAGGGAGAAAAAAGAAAUAUAGAAAAGAAAAGAAAAAGGAUAAAAAAUAAGGAAGAAAAAGAAAUAGAAAGAAUAAGAGAGAAAGAGGAAGAAAAAAGCUAACAGGGACAUUUAACCUCCUGUAUUCUUUCCGACAACCAAGAGAAGACCUUACCAAGAGAAGCUUUCGCUAGAAAAAAUUGUUUCAUCUAAGAAGUUAGACCUACAGUCAUUUUUACAGGAGUCAGAGUCGUGCCAAAAAGACCCUUAGCUGUCGGAGGACUUCUGUGUAACUUUGACAAUGAAGCUGUUUUGGUUUCUCACAAUUGGGAGGGCUUCUGUAGAAACCAUCCUGAAACGGGUGGGUAGAAUUUCCCGAACCAGAACCCGAACCUAAUCCCGAAAUACCCGAACCCGAUAUUCCCGAUCACUAUUUCAGGUACGAAGUUGAGAAACCCGAAUUUAAUUCAGGAAAUUUGGGUAUUCAACUCCGGUAUCCGAAUUCCCGAUUUACCCCAACUAUACUAAAAGCUAUUGGAUUAUGCACUAGUAGAUUGUAAAUGUAGCGAAAUUUAUUAGUUUGAUCCGUCGAUUUGCUGUUGUUUGAUGUGUAAUUGGUAUGUGAUAUGUUGAAAUGCGUUUUUGUUUUAUCCCAUGCACUAUCGAAGUUGUGACCAUGGCACGGUGGAGGAACAAAGUAUGCAAUUUAUUGGGUAAUUCGGGAAAACCCACCCAAUUUUUCGGGUACCCGAAAAUUCGGGUAUUCUAUAUUUUGGGUGAAGUUCCGGUGGCUAUUUUGAAAAUCUGAAUUUACAAAUACUCGAAUUUUGCGAAUUAGCCGAAUACCAACCGCUACUCGAAGGGGUUUUAGACUUUUAGUCGACUUUACAUCCUUACUUAUUGUUGUUUUCCUAGCUAUUAUAUUCUUUUAUAAAAAAUAUCACAUAUAUCCGAUUGACUAUAAUUAUGUAUCCGAAUACUAAAUAUUUAUAUAUUGCUUAUAGAGAUAGUAACAUUUUGAUGUUUCUGAAAUUUAUGAUUCUGAUGUUUGAUGCAAUCAUAAUUCACGCACACCAUGUUGGGCUAUUGCUUUAAAAUUUCUAUUAUGUGUCCCUAAGUCAUUUUUUAUCUAUCCAUAAUUCCAUAUUGGCAUAAGAGUUUCUUCAUCGUGCAAUGCUUGUAGAAAGAGGAGCUCUAAGGAAAUCAUUAUUGAAUUCCAGUAGUGCGUGGACAUCGUUUGGUGGUGUAAUCCACAAUGUGACGCGGCCUUAUCACCAUGCAAACCGCCUUCCCGCAGGCUCUACCUACGAGGCUACGAGGCCGGGUGGCUUAACAUCAACUGAAGGAUAUGACAUAGUAUUUAGGAUGGAACUCUGUGUUGAUCGACAACUUAACCGAUACUAAAGGGACAAGCCAGUAUACAUGUAGGAGUUUAGUUGCUCCAAGGGUAUCAUUAUUCGUCACUAUCUGGCUCGCAGCAAUCAGCAAAUGGUUAGGAAGAUGAGGAAACAAACCCUAACAAGCCCCUUUUCUCCUGUAGGGGCGGCGGCGGCACAUCAUCGAAUAACCUGAGAGCGAGUAAGAUUCCAUUACUGCAAGGAUCCCAUUACUGCUAGUAAUAAUAAGGUAAGAUAAGAUUUAACAUGGAAUAGUUUAAUUUAGAAGAAAACUUGCGAUCAUCGGAUUCAAUUAGUAGUCGAGAUCGUUUCGCAACUUAAACAGGCUGGCCAAAGCUAUCUUGACGUGGUAUUGCGGCCUAGCCUUAAGUUUUUAGAACUUAGCUCACAGGUGCCAACAUGGCAACAUACAGUGGAGUAAACGGUCUUAGCCUCACAUAGAGGUUAAACUUUUUAAUUUUUAAGUUUCUGCAGAAAGUUCACAGUGAAAAAACUAAACUAAGGUUUAUGUGCUACAGAAUAAUAAUAGUCUGAAUUAAAGUUUUAGAGUAAAAUUUUCCAUUACAGUGCAUGAUGGGUCUUGAUGUCGUCCCAUAUUCGUGCCUUGCUGUGCAGCAAACUGCGCAUGCAGUUUCUUCAGUCGCAGAAAUGAGCUGAAGCAACCAAUAUACCGUUAGACUUUGAUUUGCAGCAGGAAUCGCACAACACUACAAAUCAUCAGAAGGUAGUUGAACCAUGAAAUUAUUGUGCCAAUUUACCAUUCAUCACAUGCAUCUAUAUAAAACGGGCUAACAAGGAAACCUACAACAGACCAUAAGAAUUCGGGGAAUAGGUAAUGAUAAAAGAAAUCCGUGGAAUAGAAGGUUUACAGUCCAAAUAUAUGCACUGCAUGUCAAGAAGACAAAUCUGCUCCAUUCAUUGUUCAGUUUGCAGCUACAGCAAACGUUUCACAAAAAACUACCAUCCUGGAGCUCUGCCAACACAAACACGUUACGACAGCAUAUUGUACUGAUGGAAUGUUGUUUCCAAAGCAUGUAUCAAACAGGCGGGCUUUCAAGCAAAACUGCUGCUGCAGCUGCUCCGCCGCCUCUUCUUUCCUGCAGCCUGCAGGCCUCCGGCUCACUUCAGAUCAGAUCUUCCCUUCUGCCUUUGCGGCCAGUGCCGCUUUCAUAUCACGUACCUGCACAAGAUCACAGAGUAUGUUAACAGUUGCCUCCUGUGCCACUGAAGCACUCAUACCUAAAUCUUAAGGUAAUAAGGUACGGACAUGCUCCUCUAGAAGAACAAUUUCGGCAUCCUUCUGCUUAAGAGCUGCUUUCUCCCUGGGAGUGCAUUGUAUCAAACACACAAAAUCAGUAACAGAACAAGCAGAACUAUAUUGAGCUAAAACGUGAGAUCUAUAAAGUUCACUACUCAAUGCAAAUAUAGAGAGUUGAGUCCUGUCCAUGAUGUCAUUUUAACUCCAAGACUACAAUUCCCCUUUCCUCAAACAUACCUUCUCUCUAUAGUUUCAAGUGUGCUUGGAUAUAUUUCCUGCCUCUUUUGGAGCCUCACAUGCUUCUACAUGGAAGAAUGUUACAGUUACAGCAACACAAAGAGUGAUGACUUAAACUUCUCAUAACUCAAGAUGCAUAAGUUAAAUGCUCACCGCUUUACUUUCCUCGCAUUGCUUGUGCGCAUCAUGCAACUCAAGCUGGAGUUUUUGUUCAAUAUCAGUUAUCCUUUCCUUAACAGUUUUAGGGAUAUUCUCCCUUUCUUUAACAGAUUGAGCCAUUCGAGCCAUAUAAUACUGUAAGCGAGUAUGAGCAGACUUAGGUUACAGGAUCAGAUGAAAUUAGAUUUCCAAAUGAUUAAAAAACAUGAAAUGAUCAAUAAUAACAUAAAAAAUAGCAGGUAAGUGGCAUGGACCUCUUUCUGAUCCUGAAGCAUUUUGUUUUUCACCUAUUGGGAGAAGACAGAAUACAAAUUGUAAGAAACAAGAUUGGCGUCAACGCAUGUGGAGGUAAUCCAAAUCAACUGAACUAACAUUUUUACCUUUUCAAAUUCACUCCUGACCAAAGUUUCGUAUCGCUCCAUACAAGGACUUACAUCACUUUGGCGGCUUUCAUCACAAAUCUGUCGUGUCUCCAAAUAAAGUGCAUAGCGAUGGCCAGUUUCCAACCAAUGCUUCCCUGCAUGGUUUUUUGGCGCCUAAAAAAAUGAAAGUAUAAGUACAAUUAUCAACCUAGCAAACAGCAACUGUAAACCAUGAUCACUAAAUAAACCCAACAUACCUCAUUCACAAAAGUGCAGCCAUUAAUGUCUAGGAAGAAGUUAUCGCUCCUUUUUGGUCCCUAAAAGUCAAACGAGCACUAUAGCGGUCUUCCAGUGCAUCAUUUCUGCGAUUAUAUAAGACAUGUGGAUGAGUAAAACAAAAGCUAAUAUAUGUAGGAAAAACAGAACUGAUAAUCCACCUGAUGAUGCGGAUUUCAGUGGCAUCCUUGAUGCGGUUACCGCAGAAUGCGAUAAAUUCCUCUGCUGAGAGCCAUGACGGGUUAGCAAGCACAAGCAGAUCCAUGCCACGCAUGGCUGCAACAAGAGGGGACAAAACGAUGUGAGCAUCAUUUUCUCAAAUUAUGUUGCUAGGAGAAUCACAACCCCCCCUCAGCCUGUUUCAUAGCCGUUUUGCACAUGUGGCCUUAUGCCUCUCCCUACACCUGCAACAUUCACCACACCCUCCCUCGCAACACUUUGCGGGUGAAGUGUUGCACCUGUGCAGUCUCCAAGUUCAAUAGUUUACCAACGACCAGUGCAAGGGCUCUCAAAAGAUUACAAUUUAAUUUCUUAAUUGAUCCGUACUAUAGUACAGAGACGAGCGAGUACCGGAAGUAGCGUGUUCGAGGAGGACUGUGAAGGAGUUGGCCUCGAUGGGAAGAGGUACUUUACCAUGGCGUUUGGCAUACUCUCCAGAUGAGCGAAAGAGUUGCAGGCUGCAACCAGAGUAAACCUUGUAUGGCACACUGCAGUCUCUGUCGAACACGUGGACACCAGCCAGCUGGAUGGCUGUGACUGCCGAGGGUGUGCUGGGAGGGUGCUUGGAGCACGAAGAGGUUGUAGCACCGCCACCCCCUUUGUCAGCGACAACAGUGGCAGAGGCGGCUAUAUCUGGCCAUGCAGCCCGCAGCCCGAGAGCCCGGCACGGAGCACGUUUUUUAGCCCGUACCUAACCCGGCCCGGCCCGUAAUUCUUCGGACUCGGGCUGGCUCGGCCCGCAUCAUCGUGCCGGGCGUGGGCCGUUUCCUCGGCCCGACGGGCGGCACAGCCCGGCACGAAAAUGAUUUCCGGUCCGUUGCCGGCUCGUCAAAUGAGCAGCGGCCCAGCAGGCCGGCCCAGCAACGGUCGGGAGGGGGGGCAUAUAUAAGCCCUCGCGGCCGGCGACGCCCCCCCUUCGCAAACCCUACCCCCAUUCUCCCCUGCGCCCGCCGCCUCCUCGCCUCCUCGUCUCCUCCGCUGCGCGCCUGCGCUCCAGGCUUCUCGCCUCCUCAGCUCCUCCUGUCCCGGCGAGUCGGUGACGGCCGACGGCGACCGGCGCGCCACCUCCUCGCCUCGACUCCUCCCGUCCUCCGCUCCCACCUCCCGGCUCCCGGCUCACCUCCUGACCGCCUGGCGCCUGCCUGCCUCCCUGACUGCCUCCCUGGUGCCUUCUGCCUUGCCAGCUUGCCACCGGCACCGGCGCACCGCCUCCUCGCCUCGACUCCUCCGUUCCCCGCUCCUUUACUCCUCCCGUCCCGCCUCCCUGGAUCUGGAUCUACAUCUAGAUCCUCCUGAUCCUUAGAUCUAGAUCC
rnacentral:lncRNA from 1 species